GAGGCGCGCAGCGGCGGCGCAGGCGCGGAGAGGCGCUGGCGCCGGCUCUGGCGCGGAGAGGCGCAGGCCCAGGCUCCACUCCCCAGCUGUGAAAGGUGUCCUGCAGGUUUCUGUGAGCAGAGCAGACAGAAAGGAGAUGCCCAGUGACGUCAGCUGUCCCCCACAGAGCUUCCUGGAGCCUGGGCUCCAGGCUGAGGGUCCUUGGACAGACGUCAUCUCCCUGGCUUCAGCAGAAUCACCCACAAACCCACCCUGUGCCCACCCUCCCAUCACAGAGAGCAGCUGCUGGAGAAGGCAGCAUGAGACUUUGAAGACCUCGAGGAGCAGGAGACACAGGAGACAAUGGCCAGGAUGGUCAUGGUGGCGCGGCUAUGCCAUCACUGAUUUCUGCCUACCUGCCCCCUAAGUCUCACUUGCUACUACUCUCAAUUUCCUACUUAAUGCUUCAGAGAGCACCAGUCCUGAGAUGAGAGGCGGGAUGUUCACUCUCUGGGAGUUGAGAUGGAACCCAGGCAGUUAGAAAAAAGUGCCACAGCCACGUGCCGAGCCUACUACUUGUCAGGAGCUCAGUGAGUCAUCCAAUUCCUAAAACAACUGUGCUGCAUGUGCUCCACCGCGCCUGGGCGACUCGGGGAAAUGGGCUGCGGGAGGCUUAGUGACCUGCCCUGGGUGACACGGAUGGCAUGGAUGCCCUGUCCAUGCACGGGGCUGUGCUAGGAGAGGACAGGAUCAUCCCCAGAAGCUGGUCCUGUGUCCACUGCUCACGGUGGCAGCUGCUUGGGCUGACAACGCCCCCCACCUCCUGAUCAGAUAGUGAUAUACUUGGUCCAAACUUCGAAAGUAAAAAAGUUAAAACAGAAAAAUAGUCUCCUGGUCAUUCAUGCUCUCUGGUUCCCUUUUCAUUAGUAUCUCUUUCUCCUUCUAUUUAUGGAUCUAGUUAUUUAAAGCACAGAUGGUGACAUUCUGUACAUAUUCUGCAUUUUGCUUUUUAAGUCUAUUUUAUUAUGACGUACAAUACAUAUAGAAAAGUGGAAAAAACUGAAAUGAAUGAAUUUUCAUGAAGUGAGCAUUGGUGUAAACUGAGCCAGUACAUUGGGAACCCCCUUCAUUCUCCCUCCCAGUUACUGCACCAUCCCUCCUGCCACCGGUAAAUACUGCCCUGACCUUCAUGGUAACUACUUGCUUUGCUUCCAUUAGAUAUUCUAUUUUUGUUUCAGCUGUGCUUUUGAACUUUAUAGAAAUGGAUUCAUACAGGGUGUAUUCCUUCACAUUGAGCUGGCUGUGUGCAGCAUUGUGUGCAGUUGUUUCAUAUUGUAGCCGGGAACAGUGACUCAUCUUCAUUGCUCUUUAGCAUUCCAUUGUUUAAUUGAAUCCCAGUUUUCUUUUCCACUGUUGGUUGUGUUUAGAUUUUUUUCAGUUUGGGGUUACUAUGAAGGAUGCUAUAAAGAGCAUUCUUGUACAUGGCUCUUGUAGCACAGUGAACACAUUUCUGUUGGGUGUAGAGAUGUACGUAUAUGUGUGUGUGUGUGUGUGUGUGUGUGUAUAUAUAUAUAUACACCCCAAGGGGUAAAAUUGUUGGAUGUACAUACCUUUGACUUCAGUAAAUCAUGCCAAACUGCUUUCCAAAGUGGUUGUUCAUCUUUUUUUCCUUUUGUUUUUCAGUGGAUCCUUAUAGUUUGGGAUUCUUCCAUAAUGGUACAUAUAGAUGUGUCUCAUUUUUUUAAACAGUUGCAUAGUUUUCACAGCAUGGACAUAACAUGAUUUAUUUAACCUGUCUUCUGUUGUUGGACUUCGUUAUAUUUAUACUCAAACAAUGCCACAAUGAAUAACCUUCUUCAUAAGUUAAUUAAAUACUCGAUGAAAAAUACAGGUUUUUUUUCAGUUUAUAAAAGUAAUACUUGCUCACUGAGGAAAAAAAAAUCUGUAAAUUACAGAAAAACACAAAGGAAAUAUAUCCUCUGAUCCAACCAGAAAGAAAACUACUUUUCCUAUGUUGUGCGUAGCUCUCUAGUUUUUUCUUUCUUUAUAUCAAUUGGAUUUUUUUUUUUUUUUUUUUUUUUUUUGGAGACAGGGUCUCACUGUGUCACCCAGGCCGGAGUGCAGUGGCAUGAUCACAGCUCACUGAAGCCUCGACUUCCCAGGCUUAAGUGAUCCUCCUACCUCACUCAGCCUCCCGAGUAGUUGGGACCACAGGCAUGUGCCACCACAUCUGGCUAUUUUUAAUAUUUUUUGUAUAGAUGGGGUUUCGCCAUGCUGCUCAGGCAGGUCUCAAACUCCUGGCCUCAAGCCAUCUGCUUGUGUUGGCCUCCCAAAGUGCUGGAUUACAGGCAUGCACCACCACCCCCGGCCUAAUUGAAUUUUUAUUUUGGAAGAACCAUAUACCUUUAUACAUAUUCUUUCUAUGACUUAUUUUCUGUAGUUGAAGUUCAAGGGUGUUUGACAGUGUGAUGUGGUUAUUGUUAACCUGUAUGUGGGGGCAUACAGAUAUGUUUUUUUACUUUUUCCCAUAAGGCUAAGAUCAUCUCCAGAAAUAUUAAUUUUUUAGACAGUGUGAUUAUAGUUAUUUAAUACUCAUACUUAUCAAAAUAUUAUAUGUUAAAACCAAUAACCAUCUGAACUUAUUUGAAUAUAGUUUUUCCUAUUCUGUUCUUAGAAAUUU
rnacentral:lncRNA from 1 species